rnacentral:rRNA from 1 species
GACGAACGCUGGCGGCGUGCUUAACACAUGCAAGUCGAACGGACAGGCCCUGCUUUUGUGGGGUGCUCGAGUGGCGAACGGGUGAGUAACACGUGAGUAACCUGCCCUUGACUUUGGGAUAACUACAGGAAACUGGGGCUAAUACCGGAUAGGAGCUCCUGCUGCAUGGUGGGGGUUGGAAAGUUUCGGCGGUUGGGGAUGGACUCGCGGCGUAUCAGCUUGUUGGUGUGGUAGUGGCUUACCAAGGCUUUGACGGGUAGCCGGCCUGAGAGGGUGACCGGCCACAUUGGGACUGAGAUACGGCCCAGACUCCUACGGGAGGCAGCAGUGGGGAAUAGUGCACAAGGGGCGGAAGCCUGAUGCAGCAACGCCGCGUGCGGGAUGACGUCCUUCGGGUUGUAAACCGCUUUCGCCUGUGACGAAGCGUUAGUGACGGUAAUGGGUAAAGAAGCACCGGCUAACUACGUG